rnacentral:lncRNA from 1 species
GAGAGGCUCCGGGAAACUGAGGCGUCGCGGGCUCAGCGACCAGGUCUGAGGUGAGGCGCCGGCCCGAGACACCAUUGUGACCCUUCCGCGAUCCCCACGCGACUCAUGCGGUCAGGCCCCGGUUCCGUAGUUCUCGCGGCCGUUCUGGGGUUGCAGGGCGGGAGCGACUGCGGAGGAGAGUGCGGCACCGCGACCUCUGACCCUCCCCACGACCCCGUGACCCCGCCCCCAGUUACGACCCCCGUUCGCCCCAUCUCUCUGUGAGAUGUGACCCCACAUUCUGCGUGGAUCUCAGACUCCGUCUUGCCCCAUGAGUCCUGUCCCCAUGUCCACCUGUGACCCUUGACCCCGCCCCCGGCCGACAAGCCCCUUGGCUGCACUCCGUGUGAACCUGAACUCUCCCAUCCCUGUGGACUUCUUGCUCCCACUUUGACCCUUCUCUCUGGGAAUCCUGACUCCUUUUGCGACCUCCAUUGUCCAUCUUUGACACUGACCCCAGUUUCCUAUGACCCCUCUUCCCCUUUCUGGCAGACCCUGAUUCCCCACUCUGGUGAUGAGAACCCUUCCUUCCCUGGGAAUCUUGACCACAGCCUGUCACUCCUGGCCUUGACCCUGGUAUUGGGUCCUGGGACGUAACUCUUAUUCUUUCCUGUACCUCGAGUUCCGGACAAUCUACUUUGAACCUUGACCCUAACCGACCACUACCCUGUGUCUACAGUUGAACCUUAACCUCACCCCGGGACCCCUGUUCUCCUAGUGAAACUUAACCUCACCCCGGGGACCCCGUUUUCCUUGUGAUCCAGAUCCUUCCUUCUCCUGAGACUCUGGUUGCUCCCUGGAACCUUGAGCACUGCCUUCCCAUGACUCCUGUCCUUGACCCUGGUCCUGGGAGGGAACCCCCAAACCCCAUCUUGUGCCAUGAUCCCUUAACCCCAGGCUCAGUCAUGACCUCUAACCUUUCUUUUCUGUCUUUUUCUAUCAACUUCUGUUCAGUAUUCUUUUUGAUCCUUUUCUUUUUCUGGUGGUCUUUAACCCUGGCACCCCUGAGGGAUUUUUGUCCCUUCCUACCCCACUUGGCAGCCUCAGCGUUGGGGGUUCUCAGGAUCCUGACUAUCCAGGAAGAGUUUCCUAAUUGGGUUUCCUGGGUGGAUGCCCAGGCCUGGCCCCACCACUGGUCUCAGGAACGUCCCUCAUGUCUGCUCUCCUGGUUUAGGUUGGGGGAAUAUGCAAAGAGUGACUCUGAAACCAAGGUGCCAGGGAGCUCAGUGAGGGACAGUGGGUGCCACCACCCCAAGUACUAGAGAUGCACUGGAGGGACACAUCGGAACAAGCCUGGUAGUGAGGUAGGGAUCUCAGGAUGUCUCCUCAGAUGUCAUGAUUAAAACUCUGAAAAGUUUGAAAA